GCCUGCAUUCGUUAAGUGAUCACGGGGCUGCCCAUGUCCUGGUCAUUGGUAGUGCAGGCAGAGGAAAUGCGGGGAAAGGUUUGCUGUGUUUGGAGGAUCCACAUCUUCACCUUCCUGUCCCAGGAGCUUUCCUACA
rnacentral:snoRNA from 1 species